UACGUAGGGGGCAAGCGUUGUCCGGAUUUACUGGGCGUAAAGAGCGCGUAGGCGGACGCUUAAGUGUGGCCUGAAAGCCCCCGGCUCAACCGGGGAGGGUGGCUGCAAACUGGGCUUCUUGAGGGCGGCAGAGGAGAGUGGAAUUCCUGGUGUAGCGGUGAAAUGCGUAGAGAUCAGGAGGAACAUCAGUUGCGAAGGCGGCUCUCUGGACCAGCACUGACACUGAGGCACGAAAGCGUGGGGAGCAAACAGG
rnacentral:rRNA from 1 species